GUGAACGCUGGCGGUAGGCCUAACACAUGCAAGUCGAACGGCAGCACAGUAAGAGCUUGCUCUUACGGGUGGCGAGUGGCGGACGGGUGAGGAAUACAUCGGAAUCUACUUUUUCGUGGGGGAUAACGUAGGGAAACUUACGCUAAUACCGCAUACGACCUACGGGUGAAAGCAGGGGAUCUUCGGACCUUGCGCGAUUGAAUGAGCCGAUGUCGGAUUAGCUAGUUGGCGGGGUAAAGGCCCACCAAGGCGACGAUCCGUAGCUGGUCGGAGAGGAUGAUCAGCCACACUGGAACUGAGACACGGUCCAGACUCCUACGGGAGGCAGCAGUGGGGAAUAUUGGACAAUGGGCGCAAGCCUGAUCCAGCCAUACCGCGUGGGUGAAGAAGGCCUUCGGGUUGUAAAGCCCUUUUGUUGGGAAAGAAAAGCAGCAGGUUAAUACCCCGCUGUUCUGACGGUACCCAAAGAAUAAGCACCGGCUAACUUCGUG
rnacentral:rRNA from 1 species